CCUGGAGACAGGGAAGAGGAGGUUGGGGAGGUGGGGGAAUAGCUUGCCCUCCUCCUACCACCCCGGCCUCAACCUCUUCUGAGGGGACAGACCAACUUAGACCACUGAGAACUCUACUCCUGCCCCGCUGCACAGCCAGUUCCUCAAAAGACAAGAAUUCCCAGCCCUACCCACAGCUACGGCUACUUGAGCCCACGGAGGAAGGAAUGAGGUAGGCUGGGCAGGGGGAGAAAAUCCAAGGUCACAGCCAGCCAGGCCCUUAAGAAAUCGGCUCUUCACUUUGUUCAAGUCGUGGGGCUCCCUGAGACACCCUCAAAGCUGUGUGUCCUCGCCCAGAAAGAACGCACACACUCGCACAAGACCGUGCAGGUGAUUAGUUCCGUUAGGCACAGCCACAGACCUCUGGGAUAAGAAGGCCUGCUCUGGUGGACACAGGUCAACUGAGUGGGGAAGGGUUUACUUGGCGUAACACCAGGCCCUCAAACUUGGUUUCAGGACUUUUCAAUUCAGGGCUCUCUUAAUGACGACCGUUUUAUUUUGCGACGACUUUGUGCAUGACCCACUCUGGAGACAAUUCUGCCACUGAGUCUGACGUGACCGCUUUGCACUGCAGGACCACCAGGCAGCACAUCCCUCCGUCUCAAUCGUUCCCUGGGCCCAUCUCCCUCCAGGCAUCUUGAAACCAAAAUACUCUCCAAACCUCCAACCUCCCACGUGCCCAUAGACCAGGGGUCAGCAAACUACAGCCCAUUGCCUGUCUCUGCAAAUAAAGUUUUACUGAAACAU